rnacentral:rRNA from 1 species
AUUGAACGCUGGCGGCAUGCCUAACACAUGCAAGUCGAACGAGUGGCGGACGGGUGAGUAAUGUCUGGGAAACUGCCCAAUGGAGGGGGAUAACUGCUGGAAACGGUAGCUACUACCGCAUACCAUCGGAUGUGCGCAGAUGGGAUUAGCUAGGAGGUGGGGUAACGGCUCACCUAGGCGACGAUCCCUAGCUGGUCGGAGAGGAUGCCAAGCCACACUGGAACUGAGACACGGUCAAGACUCCUACGGGAGGCAGCAGUGGGGAAUAUUGCACAAUGGGCGCAAGCCUGAUGCAGCCAUGCCGCGUGUAUGAAGAAGGCCUUCGGGUUGGAAAGUACUUUCAGCGAGGAGGCGUUACUCGCAGAAGAAGCACCGGCUAACUCCGUGCCAGCAGCCGCGGUAAUUC